GACGAACGCUGGCGGCGUGCUUAACACAUGCAAGUCGAACGGAAAGGCCCUGCUUUUGUGGGGUGCUCGAGUGGCGAACGGGUGAGUAACACGUGAGUAACCUGCCCUUGCCUUUGGGAUAACUUCAGGAAACUGGGGCUAAUACCGGAUAGGAGCUCCUGCUGCAUGGUGGGGGUUGGAAAGUUUCGGCGGUUGGGGAUGGACUCGCGGCUUAUCAGCUUGUUGGUGGGGUAGUGGCUUACCAAGGCUUUGACGGGUAGCCGGCCUGAGAGGGUGACCGGCCACAUUGGGACUGAGAUACGGCCCAGACUCCUACGGGAGGCAGCAGUGGGGAAGAUGGCGCAAUGGGCGGAAGCCGGAUGCAGCAACGCCGCGUGCGGGAUGACGGCCUUCGGGUUGUAAACCGCUUUCGCCUGUGACGAAGCGUGAGUGACGGUAAUGGGUAAAGAAGCACCGGCUAACUACGUG
rnacentral:rRNA from 1 species